AGUUCGGAUUGCAGGCUGCAACCCGCCUGCAUGAAGUUGGAAUCGCUAGUAAUCGCGGAUCAGCAUGCCGCGGUGAAUACGUUCCCAGGCCUUGUACACACCGCCCGUCACACCAUGAGAGUCGGGAACACCCGAAGUCCGUAGCCUGACCGCAAGGGGGCGCGGCCGAAGGUGGGUUCGAUAAUUGGGUGAAGUCGUAACAAGGUACC
rnacentral:rRNA from 1 species